UCAUCAGUCAUCAGUAAGUGUAAGCUACAUAAUUUUGAAGUAGCAGAUAAAACUUUUGUAGAAAUAAAUAAAUGCUUGGGAAAGCAGCCUUGGGUGUGGUGCUAACCCUGUUGUGGGUUAUCAUUGUCCUCGAUUCCUUUCAGACACCAUUCGCAAUUCCACAUGGGGAAAUUCGGUCUAAAGGUGGACGUGCGCUGCUUAUGCCGUUUCAUGGGGGAGGGCACGGAGGAGUACGAGUAAGCCCGUCACCUCGGGGUCAGAUUCCAUAGGGUUAUUUCUGCUUUGUGAUGCUCAGAAGACGAAUUUCAAUAAUAAAAAGUAGAACCUGGCGGUUCUCUCUCUCUCAGUGGCACUUCUUCCAAGUGGGGAGUUAUAAAAUAUUCUGGCUCUUGGUGGUUUGAAUAAUUUUGGGCCUUAAUUCGUGUUUUGUUGGAUUUCAAGAAGAAUUAUUGUUUUUGAAGCUUUUGUUAUGUAUAUUUCCUUGAGUUUGCUCCCCAAAAAAGAAAAAAAAAAUCCUUUGAGUUUGUUUGUUAUAUAUGGUUCUUGGAGAAAGACGGUGUGGCCGCGGGCAGCUGUGGAGGUGUAGUACUAGCGUGCAAUAGGAGCAGAGCUCAAUUCAAUAAGGGAGCCAGUUGCAAGGACCAAGAUGGAACGAUGAAAAGAAAAUAGAGAAAAAUGAAAAAAAAAAACAAAAGCACACAAUGGAUGUGUUUGAAUAAGACAUUAAUUAUUUAGAAUAAUACUAAUAUAUGUUUCAUCACACUUUUAAUUUA